UACGUAGGGUGCGAGCGUUGUCCGGAAUUAUUGGGCGUAAAGAGCUCGUAGGCGGUGUGUCACGUCGGCCGUGAAAUCCUGGAGCUCAACUCCAGAACUGCCUUCGAUACUGGCGAUCUUGAGUCCGGAAGAGGUGAGUGGAACUCCUAGUGUAGAGGUGGAAUUCGUAGAUAUCAGGAGGAACACCGGUGGCGAAGGGCGGGGACUCUGGGCCGAUACUGACGCUG
rnacentral:rRNA from 1 species